GGCCUGGUGGUCUAGUAGUAUGAUUCCUUCUUAGGGCGAUUAUCGGUAUUCAAUCCGGUGAUAACGUAAUUUGGAGGAGGUCCCGGGUUCAAUUCCCGGCCAGGCCC